GGCGGACGGGUGAGUAAUGCCAUAGGAAUCUGCCUGCUAGUGGGGGAUAACGUCCGGAAACGGGCGCUAAUACCGCAUACGUCCUGAGGGACAAAGUGGGGGAUCUUCGGACCUCACGCUAUCAGACGAGCCUAGGUCGGAUUAGCUAGUUGGUGGGGUAAAGGCCUACCAAGGCGACGAUCCGUAACUGGUCUGAGUGGAUGAUCAGUCACACUGGAACUGAGUCACGGUCCAACUCCUACGCGAGGCAGCAGUGGGGAAUAUUGGACAAUGGGCGAAAGCCUGAUCCAGCCAUGCCGCGUGUGUGAAGAAGGUCUUCGGAUUGUAAAGCCACUUUAAGUUGGGAGGAAGGGCAGUAAGUUAAUACCUUGCUGUUUUGACGUUACCAACAGAAUAAGCACCGGCUAACUUCGUCCCAGCAGCCGCGGUAAUACGAAGGGUGCAAGCGUUAAUCGGUAUUACUGGGCGUAAAGCGCGCGUAGGUGGUUCAGCAAGUGGAUGUGAAAUCCCCGGGCUCAACCUGGGAACUGCAUCCAAUAACUACAGAGCUAGAGUACGGUAGAGGGUGGUGGAAUUUCCUGUGUAGCGGUGAAAUGCCAUAGAUAUAGGAAGGAACACCAGUGGCGAAGGCGACCAC
rnacentral:rRNA from 1 species